CAAAAAGGCGCCGCUUCUGCUUCUCUGUUGCGUGCUUCUCCAAUGCUCGCCGUUUCUCGUUCUCAUACUCUGUCCAGCGGUCAGUUGCGGUAUCUGCGGCUGCCAGCUGUAUGCCUGUGUCCCUGGCUCUGCUGCUGUAGCUUGUCGAUGUGUCUUCGUUGGUAUCACACACACCGGGUCUCUCUGCGUCGACCAAGGCUGCUACAAGGUCCUCUUGC
rnacentral:lncRNA from 1 species